GAUUAUAUUGUUUCUUAAAAAAUUUUAUUUUUCUAUGGGGAGACAGAAGAAGCGGAGACAGGAGCCGAGAAAGUUGCUCGCGCGUGGACUCGAUUGGAGACAGUGACAUUGGUUAAACAACGCCGAGAGCUGUGUGAUAUUACGCAAGCUGUAUGGACGAUCACAGAUCUACGUAGAAGGGAAAAGGAGAAAGGAAAAUCUACGCUUAGCAUUCCAAGUCGAGGAGGAGCUCAGAAGCUCCGUUAGAAUCGAGAGUGAACGCAAUUUUGACGUUAGCUCACAUACAUACAUGCAAGAACGUCCGAGGUGCGUCACUGACUGAAUUGCAUGGAUGGUUAUGGGUUUUUAAGGUGCAACGUGCGAUGGAAACGAGAGUGGAAUCGUCGAACGUGUCUCACGACUGUGGUUUCCCUCCUUUUCUCUCUUUAUCUCUCUCUCCCUCCCUCUCUCCCUCUCUCUCUCUCUCUCUCUCUCUCUCUUUUGCUCCAUCUCCAUCACUAUCACACCUUCUUUCCUUCUCACACUCUUCUACUACCAGAGACUACUCCGAUUUCGUAAUUCUUCAAUCCCACGGGUUCCAGAACUUUACGAUCUGCUAUCUAGAUCGGUGACCGAGCUCGCGUUUCUAUGUUUAUGCGGAAAUAAAAUCGAUCUGUUUCGUGUUUUUUUUCUUUUUUUGAUCCCUGGCACGAAUAAAUUUCAAGUUUCUUUCUUAAAAUUAUGGAACAUUGAUCAUUUUCGAAACUCGUGCAACGCUCCGCGUUAAAAAUUUGACGGAUAGUGCUAGUUACUCAAGUUCGAAUUUGGUGAACGAGUGAUCGCAUAAGAUGAGAAAGGAAAAUUUUCUUACCGUAAGACCAACCAACAACCUCACCGGACCUCAGAUUCUCUGUUCUCAACCAGUCUUCGAGUGGUCUGAAAUAUUCUCUUAAAGCGGAUCCGUC